UUCAGGGGGUACAGAACAAAAAUUAAAUAACUGAAAGUCAUUCGUUGUCGAAAUUUCAGAGAACGCUUCAUUUUUAUGUGAACCUUUAUUAUUCUUCUGGAAAAAAACAAAAUGGAUCCGAAAUUGUGCGACAGGUGAUUUAAGUGUACUUAUAUUACUACUAAGGUAUAUUGCAUUGAAUCGGUAUCGGUUACCAAUACCGAAACUUUGGGUACCGAGUAUUGGGGCAACUCUGCACAUCACUAUUUUUUAAAAAUGACACUUUCAUUGAGGGCAAUUGCAGCACAUAUCACAAUUUCCUGAAUGGCACGAGUAAUUAUGAUGCGCUUUCUUUGGAGAUAUUCCACCCAAAACCCUCAUUCAUCCGAGUACGGCAUAUUUACAACUCGCAAUCGAGUUCGCCUGAAGGAUGAAUGAGGAAUUAUGGUAUGCCGAAUGGAUAGCUUUUAAACGCGUUUUCCACGUUACAUGGAAAUAAAAUAGCAAUCCCGGUUGGAUCAAUCGUCUCAUUUAAUUUCCUUAUCGUGUACGUGUAUGCACCGGCAAAACACCAAAAUCCAAAGCGAAAGAAACAUCCAAAGAAUUUUGACAAAAAAACGCUGUGCGCUUGAAUCACCUAACGAUUUUCAGAACGCGAGGCAUACAUCCACUUUCACGUUCUGCUGUUCUCUGCUAUAUUUUCCGUCUACUUGAACAAUACUGUCGUGCGGUUGGUUUUCUAGCGAACAUCGUAAGAAGCUAUUACCUAACUGAAUAUAUCAUGUCUACGUCUGUGUAUGAAGGUGUUGAAAAGGGGCCAGCCAUUGAGGUGUUUGCCCUAAAUCGGGCAUUUUGCAGAUAUCCCACCCAAAACCCUCAUAGUGAUUUAGUGGAAAAUCGUGAACUCGGAAAAAGCCAACCAUUAUUGAAGUAUCGUGAAAUAUGAAUUAAUAUAAUAUGAAUCUUUUAUGUAACCUAUUAUCUCACUAAUAUCUUUUCGUUUCCAUUUCAGAUGAUGCUGGAUUUAGCUAAAAAGUGUUUGCGCACGACAAAUCACAUGCAUUUGGCCAAAACUUCUGUAUCGAUUGUGCGAAUUUGAAGUCUUGCAGGAUCUGUAUCGCACAGAUUAUGACAUACAUGCGAACAGAUUAUGACAUACAGUUUACAUCAAAACAAAAGGGUUUAAGUUCUGCAACAACGAGGGUUAUGAACAACGCCAAGGAAAGUGAAUUCUUUGCCAGCGCCGUUGGUAAUUUGUCUGGUAAUUUUUCCCGGAAUAUUGUGAGUACUAUAACCUUUUUAUUAUUAUACUGCUUUUACACAGUUCAAGUAUUGAAUUCCAUUCUGCUCGCAUGUGGAAGAGAGG